GGGUACAUUAGCUCAGAUUGGCUUGAUCAACCAUGUGGAAGGAGCGUCUACUACGGUAGGAGGUCGCUGGUUCGAAUCCAGCAUGUGCCCA
rnacentral:tRNA from 1 species